GGAUGUGUGAACAAACUGGCUGCGACAUCUGUCACCCCAUUGAUCACCAGGGUUGAUUCAGCUGAUCUGGCUGGCUAGGCAGGUGUCCCCUUCCUUCCUCACCACUCCACGUGUGUCCCCCCUGAAGCUGUGUGCUUGGUUGAAGAGGACGGCUCCUUCCCCAAAUAGACAGACGAGUCUUCGGUCAGUCGAGAUUAUAGGAGCUAGCUGUGCUCCUGCUUAGAAACUCCAAUCAAGCUCUCAAGGUCCAAAUACAACAAGAACGAAGAUCUGAUUUUGUUCCUAAACACAGAUAAAUGUGUCCCUCUUCUUU
rnacentral:snRNA from 1 species